rnacentral:miRNA from 1 species
GUAAGUGUUACAGAAUAAUCUU